rnacentral:rRNA from 1 species
UAGGGAAUCUUGCGCAAUGGGCGAAAGCCUGACGCAGCCAUGCCGCGUGUAUGAUGAAGGUCUUAGGAUUGUAAAAUACUUUCACCGGGGAAGAUAAUGACUGUACCGGGAGAAUAAGCCCCGGCUAACUCCGUG